rnacentral:lncRNA from 1 species
CUUGUAUGUAGUGUGGCUGGUCUCACAUACCUAUAUAUACAUUUUAUUUCUUAAAUGGAAACUAUUUUUAUUUGUCUCUGCUGGUAAAGGCUUUUAUACUUUGAUGUUCGUCAAAGCUCUGUAGAGAAUGAUAAGACAUCAGCUAGACCUUUUAACAUUGCUCUGGAGAUGCUGUAGGAGAGCCACCAUUGCCAGCUGUACGUUCACACUGAUUUGGCAGUCUUUAGAUGCUUUCAGUACCCUGGCAAAGCUUUUCUGGUGUUUCUGGAGGAUACGCAUCAUAAUGACAGGAAAAUAAGCCAGAACAAUUUAAGGAUCCGGGUAUAUAAUAAUAACCCAGAAAUGAAUCAGAGUCAAGGCAGACACCUUUUUAUCAGUGGACCAGCUCUUCUCCAGCAAAAUUAUCCAGUCAGGUUUGAAUAUUAGAGUAGUUCUCUCUUUACUCUUUUUCUGUGGUUUCCUUAUGGGGAUGUCAUAUAAGAU